rnacentral:misc_RNA from 1 species
GAAAUGCGAUAAGUAGUGUGAAUUGCAGAAUUCAGUGAAUCAUCGAAUCUUUGAACGCACAUUGCGCCCUUUGGUAUUCCAAAGGGCAUGCCUGUUCGAGCGUCAUUUGUACCCUCAAGCUUUGCUUGGUGUUGGGCGUCUUGUCUCUAGCUUUGCUGGAGACUCGCCUUAAAGUAAUUGGCAGCCGGCCUACUGGUUUCGGAGCGCAGCACAAGUCGCACUCUCUAUCAGCAAAGGUCUAGCAUCCAUUAAGCCUUUUUUUCGACUUUUGACCUCGGAUCAGGUAGGGAUACCCGCUGAACUUAAGC